AUUGAACGCUGGCGGCAGGCCUAACACAUGCAAGUCGAACGAGUGGCGGACGGGUGAGUAAUGUCUGGGAAACUGCCUGAUGGAGGGGGAUAACUACUGGAAACGGUAGCUAAUACCGCAUACCAUCAGAUGUGCCCAGAUGGGAUUAGCUAGUUGGUGUGGUAACGGCUCACCAAGGCGACGAUCCCUAGCUGGUCUGAGAGGAUGACCAGCCACACUGGAAUUGAGACACGGUCCAGACUCCUACGGCAGGGAGCCGUGGGGAAUAUUGCACAAUGGGCGCAAGCCUGAUGCAGCCAUGCCGCGUGUAUGCAGAAGGCUGUCGGGUUGUAAAGUACUUUCAUCGGGGAGGCGUUACCCGUAGAAGAAGCACCGGCUAACUCCGUGCCAGCAGCCGCGGUAAUUC
rnacentral:rRNA from 1 species